UACGGAGGAUCCAAGCGUUAUCCGGAUUCAUUGGGUUUAAAGGGUGCGUAGGCGGAAUGAUAAGUCAGUGGUGAAAUCUCGGAGCUUAACUCCGAAACUGCCAUUGAUACUGUCAAUCUUGAGUACAUUUGAUGUGGGCGGAAUGUGUCAUGUAGCGGUGAAAUGCUUAGAUAUGACACAGAACACCGAUUGCGAAGGCAGCUCACAAAAACUGUAACUGACGCUGAGGCACGAAAGCGUGGGUAU
rnacentral:rRNA from 1 species